GCCGGAGUAGCUCAGGGGUAGAGCAACGCUCUCGUAAAGCGUGGGUCAAGGGUUCAAUUCCCUCCUCCGGCU
rnacentral:tRNA from 1 species